GAUUAUUCCAGCUCCAAUAGCGUAUAUUUAAGUUGCUGCAGUUAAAAAGCUCGUAGUUGGAUUUCGGGUGGGGCCUGCCGGUCCGCCGUUUCGGUGUGCACUGGCAGGGCCCACCUUGUUGCCGGGGACGGGCUCCUGGGCUUCACUGUCCGGGACUCGGAGUCGGCGCUGUUACUUUGAGUAAAUUAGAGUGUUCAAAGCAGGCCUACGCUCUGAAUACAUUAGCAUGGAAUAACACGAUAGGACUCUGGCCUAUCCUGUUGGUCUGUAGGACCGGAGUAAUGAUUAAAAGGGACAGUCGGGA
rnacentral:rRNA from 1 species